rnacentral:Y_RNA from 1 species
GCAUGGUCAGAAUGAGUUGUCUCAAUUGGUUGUUCAAAGUCAGUUAUAAAUUGAACUCCUUGUUCUACUUUUUACCCCUUUCUCACUACUGUACUUGACUAGUCUUUA